UUUAUCGGAGAGUUUGAUCCUGGCUCAGGACGAACGCUGGCGGCGUGCCUAAUACAUGCAAGUCGAGCGGACAGAUGGGAGCUUGCUCCCUGAUGUUAGCGGCGGACGGGUGAGUAACACGUGGGUAACCUGCCUGUAAGACUGGGAUAACUCCGGGAAACCGGGGCUAAUACCGGA
rnacentral:rRNA from 1 species